UGAAAACAAACGCAAAAUUGCCAUCGUUUUUUACCAUGGAAAAUGCAGAAUUCCAAAGCUUCCAACUUCUUCUAAAGGGAAGCAAGUGUUGUUGUCUCCAAGUUUCGAACAAUCUCCUCUUUCACAGAUAUUGUUUGGAGUUGUGUGAGGUGGAGAAGAUGGUCCCAUGGCAGAGGGUUCUUGGAAGCAAGAAGACAAUCCCUAGAGAGUCCUCGAAUUCUAAAGCGGCAUUGGUGGCAUAGAUGUUUACCAACAUAAUUUUGAGAGUUUGGCUGCAUAAAAGAACAGGUGGUGUUUGUUUGUCCAUUGCUUCAAAAGGGUUAGCAAUCACCGAGAUAGGUGAUUGAAGAUGUUGGAAUCAUAUCCCAACUGAAGAAUCUAGGUGAGAUUCAUUCAAUUUUUUAACCCUCUUUUUUUAGUUUUUAUGUAUUGAUUUUUCAAUGGAAAUG